GGUCGAUUCGGUCUGGUGCAAUGACCACAGAGCUAACAAAAUAGGGAUAGGUAAUUCUUAAACUAACUUAAACUACUGAAGUCUGAAGGGUGGUGUGCUGGUGUUGAUUUGCAGGAACCUGACGACCUGGGCGGCCUCUCACACAACAUAAGUUGCUGGCGGACUUACGCGGUGACACUCGCUCGAUGAUGACGUGGAGGUGAACCAACGCGAAACACAGUAGUCGGGAGACGUGGGCAAUGUUGAUUACGUUCCAGUCUUAUCCAAUGACAAAAUUUGAUCACCCAUAGGCACAAAUAGAGUUUGAAAUCUGGGGGGGGGGCUGAAGCUGUAGCUCAGAUCAGGAUACUGAAUACUCUUAUGAUGCUUUUAAAUUAAAUAAUGUGUAUCAUGAAGUAAAAUUAUUUGAUUUUUGGGAGGCUAUACCAAUUUGUAGGGGGCUAAGCCCCCUUGCGCCUAUGUGGUCAACAAACCCGUAGUACUAAUGCAUCAUAUUACAACUGCCUUGAAUGGCUUUAAUAUAGUAUCAUCAAUGAUGCUUUGUACUGUUUUGCCUGUCGUAUUUAAUUGUUCUGGGAACAAUAUCGAAGAUACAUUUACUAUAAUUUGUUUUAAAAAUGGAAUAAAUUAAGUAGUUCAAGAGGAUCUAUAAAAGGCCAUCAAAAUAGACUUCAUUCUAAAGUAACAACAAAAUAUCAUCUGGCUAAUAUGGAAAAAUGGCAGUCACAUAAAGACAUUGAAAAAACUGGUAGUGUUGGCACAGGUUUCUUCUCAACAUAAGCUACUUAUUGAAAGUAAUCGUAGAUAUAUAAGAACUUUGUGURAAGUGACACUAYUUUUGUGCAGACAAGGCCUACCAUUUAGAGGCCACAAUGAAGCUCACAGCUCUAUGA